rnacentral:rRNA from 1 species
AUUGAACGCUGGCGGCGUGCCUAAUACAUGCAAGUCGAACGGAGUGGCGCACGGGUGAGUAAUGUAUAGCUAAUCUGCCCUACACUAGAGGACAACAGUUGGAAAAGACUGCUGAUACUCUAUAGUGAAGGAUGAGGCUAUAUUGUAUCAGCUAGUUUGUGAGUUAAUGGCUCACCAAGGCUAUGACUCAUAACUGGUCUGAGAGGAUGCUCAGUCGCACUGGAACUGAGACACGGUCCAGACUCCUCCGGGAGGCAGCAGUAGGGAAUAUUGCUCAAUGUGGGUAACCCUGAAGCAGCAACGCCGCGUGGAGGAUGACACUUUUCGGAGCGUAAACUCCUUUUAUUAGGGAAGCGGUACCUAACGAAUAAGCACCGGCUAACUCCGUGCCAGCAGCCGCGGUAAUUC